AUGACCGCAUUCGCACGCAUUAAAUCACGCAAUCGAUUUUUGAUCCUCUCCUCCAGUUCGAUAAUUGUUUUAUUUAAAGUGUUUUGCGUAUCGCUCGAUUGACUUUCGCUGGCUGGGCAGGAAGUAAAUUGGAUUUAUAUAAUGUUGGCAUAUUAUGCGAGAUUCUUGCCAUAUUAGCAUAGCCAGUUUUUUAUUUUUCUUAUUUUUGCCGUACCACGCACAGCUGUUCGAAAUGGGAGCGUGUGUGUGUGUGCGCCUUUGGGGCUUGAUUAAUUACCGUAACAAUAACAUUGGCGCUGAUGCCAAUUAUGGCAAUCGGCCACUUGGAAGACAACGAAAGCGCAACUGCAUAAAAAGUGCUGCACAUGUGUGUGACUUUGAUUGUGAGUGCCAGAGCGAGUGUGUGGGUGCAUCGGUAUGCGUGUGGAAAGGCUUACCCUCGUUGUUGUACUGCAAGUGUAAUUGCAACGGCGGCUGGUUGUUCGUCUUCCACUGCUGCAAUAUGUUGGAGACAUCGUCGUGGGUCUUAUCCGCCAGAAAUCUGCCAAGGAGUACCAGGCAUAUAUGAGUAUUUAUAGCAUCGCUGCCUCUGCUGUGCCAGCAACAUCA